GGCCAUCUGAGAUACAAUGUGAUAGAAUGAUAGUAAGGCAAAGGUUUAUGAUUUUCUAGGACAGCAAUUUGAUGGGAGUCAAGACUUAAAAUUAUGAUCACUAGAGAUGUAAUGGAAGAGUAUUGGAACUUAAGUUGAUGAAAAUUAAGAACGGACAGUGUUGGAUUAUUAAGGAUAUGACAUAUAGUGGAAAAUGAGUAAAGAUAUU
rnacentral:lncRNA from 1 species